UAUUCCGAAGGGUACACCCGUUUGAGUGUCAUUGUAAUCUCACUAUCUU
rnacentral:rRNA from 1 species